GAGGAAGCCCGGUGCGACUCCGGCGCGGUCCCGCCACUGUGACCCGGCACCUCGACCAGGAGGCACCGGGGAGUCAGGAACUC
rnacentral:ncRNA from 1 species